ACGACAUUCAACAUUUCCGC
rnacentral:siRNA from 1 species